CCCCAUCGCUGCUUCACCCCGUCGCAGUCACGGAGCGCAGGGCAAACCCCCGAGCGGACACGCAAACAAAAAGCGCGAUAAAGGAAGAGAGAAAGAGUUGGUCAGACAUGGCUGCUCCGGACACGAGUGUCUCGCGCACGGCGGAUACGGCGUCUGACGUCGAUAACGGCGAUGACGUGGUUGCCUUUGUGGUUGGAGACGGCCAGCACAAGCUUUACUUCUCGAAGCGCGCCUUGAUGCGCCACGCGCCGUUUUUUCGCGCGUACUUCACGGAACACGCCGCGGAGGUCGCCGCUGCCAGCGGUGGUGGAUCCGGUGCCACGACUGUUGUGCUGAGGCACGUGAAGCCGCGGAGCGCUGAAGCCGCUCUGCGCCUGUGCCACAGCGCCCAUCACUCUGACGACGGGCUCUUCUGGUUGCUGCAGCGGGAGUGCGAGAAGGCAGAUGAAGCGCACAAGCCAGAGGCGUUGCAAGCUGUGCUCUCUCUGUACGCCGCGUGCGUGAAGUUCGAACUGUACGAGUACGCAAAAGCGGCCAGCGCGACUGCUGCCGGCGCUGUAACGGCGCACACGGUGUACGAUGUGCUGAAGACGUGCGCGCGCUACGCGACGACACUGCUGCCGGAGACCAGACGUGCGGUUGGACUAGAUGUGCUUCUCGCUGCAUGCUAUGCGUUUAUGCGGACUUCCGGUGCAUGGCAGGGAGAGCGGCGCUGGCGCCGGCUCUACGAACAAUACCCGGAGCUUUCCGAGAUUGUCGCGGCCGCCAGCGCUGCUACUGCAACGUCCAGUGCGCAUGGAGAGAGCAGCGCCAGCGCUGCUGCAGGGGGAUCGCCAUCUCCGCUGCGGCGCGUCCUCUUGUCUCCACAAAAGGAGCCAGCUACCGCUGGGUCGUCUGCGACAGUGAUGCCGGAAUCGGCCGCGCCACUGCCGGAUGUAUUUGCCGGGCACCUCCGGCAGACAGAGGGUCUGGCACUGGCCGCGCAAUGGCGGUGUCGCACCAUGUCAGCAGAAGUGACUGCGCUGCGUGAGAGCUGCGCUGCCCUCGAGGUCACUGCCCACCGCGAUGAGGCUGCUGCCGCAGAGGUGGCGCUCUACCUGGGCGAAGUACGCGUGUACGUGCAGGCACUAGGGUGCGCGGAGGCGGAGAUGCAGCAGUUGUGUGCUGCAGCUGCCACGAUGUGCGCUGCGCCAUCGUCUUCUGCUGCUGCUGCCUCGACGCUGCACGAGCUGCGGUACGCUCUGCAGCGCGCGUCGGCGUGGGCUGCGGAGCGGAAGGCGGCCGUUGAUGAGCUUCUCGCCAUGGAGCAAGACGCGGUGUGUGAACUUGACGCCGAGCUUGCACGACUGCGCGCAGUGAUUUGCUAGAGCUGUAUUGGAGCUGCUGCAUAUGUCUGGCACAAAUGUGCGCCGUCGGCCCCUUCCCUGCAUACCUCAUACAACACCUGCAUUGCACACGCAGAGGGAAGGAGAGGGCCACUCGCGGAUGAGUGAUGCGCCGCGCGCGCUUCAACGUCUCGUAAACUCGAACAUGCGCACACUUAAAGACGAUGUCUAUGCAGCUGAAAACGAUGCGUGCACUGCAUUCCGUGCUGUGGAGG
rnacentral:misc_RNA from 1 species